ACAUGGAGGAAGACACUAUAUCGGAGAAAUCCAGGUGUGUUAAUCUGAUUUCUCAUAAUCAGAUUACAGAAGUUAUCUGAUAAAGCACAUCAGAUUAU